UGGGGAAUAUUGCACAAUGGGCGCAAGCCUGAUGCAGCCAUGCCGCGUGUAUGAAGAAGGCAUUCGGGUUGUAAAGUACUUUCAGCGAGGAGGAAGGCGUUGUGGUUAAUAACCGCAACGAUUGACGUUACUCGCAGAAGAAGCACCGGCUAACUCCGUGCCAGCAGCCGCGGUAAUACGGAGGGUGCAAGAGUUAAUCGGAAUUACUGGGCGUAAAGCGCACGCAGGCGGUCUGUCAAGUCGGAUGUGAAAUCCCCGGGCUCAACCUGGGAACUGCAUCCGAAACUGGCAGGCUAGAGUCUUGUAGAGGGGGGUAGAAUUCCAGGUGUAGCGGUGAAAUGCGUAGAGAUCUGGAGGAAUACCGGUGGCGAAGGCGGCCCCCUGGACAAAGACUGACGCUCAGGUGCGAAAGCGUGGGGAGCAAACA
rnacentral:rRNA from 1 species